AACGAACGCUGGCGGCAGGCCUAACACAUGCAAGUCGAGCGAAGCCUUCGGGCUUAGCGGCGGACGGGUGAGUAACGCGUGGGAACGUGCCCUUUGCUACGGAAUAGCCCCGGGAAACUGGGAGUAACACCGUAUGUGGUCGAGAGACGAAAGAUUUAUCGCCAAAGGAUCGGCCCGCGUUGGAUUAGGUAGUUGGUGGGGUAAUGGCCUACCAAGCCGACGAUCCAUAGCUGGUUUGAGAGGAUGAUCAGCCACACUGGGACUGAGACACGGCCCAGACUCCUACGGGAGGCAGCAGUGGGGAAUCUUAGACAAUGGGGGAAACCCUGAUCUAGCCAUGCCGCGUGAUCGAUGAAGGCCUUAGGGUUGUAAAGAUCUUUCAGUGGGGAAGAUAAUGACUGUACCCACAGAAGAAGCCCCGGCUAACUCCGUGCCAGCCGCCGCCGUAAAAC
rnacentral:rRNA from 1 species